rnacentral:rRNA from 1 species
CCUACGGGUGGCAGCAGUGAGGAAUAUUGGUCAAUGGGCGAGAGCCUGAACCAGCCAAGUCGCGUGAAGGAUGACGGCCCUACGGGUUGUAAACUUCUUUUGUCAGGGAGCAAUUGAGUCCACGUGUGGGCUUAGCGAGAGUACCUGAAGAAAAAGCAUCGGCUAACCCAGUGCCAGCAGCCGCGGUAAUACGGAGGAUGCGAGCGUUAUCCGGAUUUAUUGGGUUUAAAGGGUGCGUAGGCGGGGAUGCAGGUUGGGUGUCAAAACUACCGGCUAAACUGGUAGUCGCACUCGAAACUGCAGCUCUUGAGUGAAGUAGAGGCAGGCGGAAUGCCUAGUGUAGCGGUGAAAUGCGUAGAUAUUAGGAGGAACACCAGUGGCGAAGGCAGCCUGCUGGGCUUUUACUGACGCUGAGGCUCGAAAGUGUGGGGAGCAAACAGGAUUAGAUACCCGUGUAGUC